CACUUGAUGGUGUGAUCCUCUUUCUCCUGAUUGCAGCCAUUUUUUGCCAUUUUCUUACUAACUUGAUAAGCUUCUUAGUGUUGACCAUCUUGCUUUGCUCUAAGGUUAAUAGGAAAGAACUCCGAGAUGAAAGGAAAAAGAGGGAAGAUUUAGGCUUGAAACUCUUCUGGAUAUAAAGCAAUGGAAAUUUGAUGAAUAUAUAACUAGAAGGCAAACAUGGAGAACCACUUUCAGAACAUAGAAAAUCAAAUCAAUCAACGUACGGUUUUAGUGUAGCAGAUUAGAAACUUAAGAAGUUGACCAAGAGGUGGUCGCUCUCAAGGAAUUAACAUUGAUUUUCUGAAUAAUAACACAAUAUGCAUACUUAUGUAGCUUUUGGAUGGUAUAAUGACAUGAUAGAAUGUGAUUACAAUGUUGUAACUUUUUGAUGUUGUAAAAUUUUAUAACAUAUGAAUUAUGACAUAUAAACUAAUGAAAUCAUGUAACUUUUUGUUAAUAUAUGAAUAUUAUGUUUGGAUAUGAAAUAUAA